AUUUACAUAAUUUAUAUAGUAAGAAUAUUGCAUUGAAGCUGCAAAAGAGAUUAGUUAAUCUGUAAAUA
rnacentral:tRNA from 1 species